rnacentral:misc_RNA from 1 species
GAUGAAGAACGUAGCGAAAUGCGAUAAGUAGUGUGAAUUGCAGAAUUCAGUGAAUCAUCGAAUCUUUGAACGCACAUUGCGCCCCUUGGUAUUCCAUGGGGCAUGCCUGUUCGAGCGUCAUUUGUACCUUCAAGCUUUGCUUGGUGUUGGGUGUUUGUCCUGAGGGACUCGCCUUAAAGUAAUUGGCAGCCAGUGUUUUGGUUUUGAAGCGCAGCACAAGUCGCGAUUCAAAGCUAUACGCCAGCUUCCACAAGCCUUUUUCACUUUUGAACUCGGAUCAGGUAGGGAUACCCGCUGAACUUAAGCAUAUCAAUAAGCGGAGGA